GUCAGCUUGUCGUCGUUAGUCAGUCGUCGUCCACCCGCAAGGCAACAUUUAAUUUUAAUUUUAAGUCACAUUUCUCGCACUCACUUAGAAUUAUUAUACGGCCGAUACGGUUAUUCGAACAGUUGUCGAAGUUAAGUCAUACUUAUUUUUAAUUGAACCUAAUUUAUCGCGAACGCAGUGUGUCGUAAUCGAACCCAAACUUGAAUUACCCAUUUUGAAAGCAUUGCGAGGCUUGAAACGCGUGUGAUCCGCCGAAUCGAAAGGAUUAGUGCAAAGAAGUAGAAUAGGUGAAAAUCACUUGGAACCGAAUCAUCACGAAAAGAAAAAUCGCACAAAAUUAGUGUUUUUUAAGUUCAUUUCACGAAAAAUAUCGAACCCCUCCAGUUUGGAUACGCCUUUAGUUUCCUAAGUUAUUUCGAAAUUCAACGAUUAAGUUCAAAACGAGCUCCGAUUAUUCAAUAUUAUUUCUUAUCAAAGAAACCAAGUGCUCGAAACCAAUCGAAAAUCAGCAUACUAUAAGAGUGCGAGUGAAAAACUAAGGGAGUGGAAAAUUUGAUUUUCCCCCAAGAAUAACGAAGUCACGGUGAAGUGUGACGAUAAAACAUCGCCCGUUUAUCGAGUUAAUCACAAUCACAACAGUGCGAGAAAAGCUGAAAAAGGCGACAAAAAUAGAGCGGCGGCUGCGAAAGUGUUGAAGUGUGUAUUCUAACGUGCGAUCGCCGCUAAUUCGUAACGCAGAGUCAACUAGGUAGUAGUCAUAUCAUUGUCUCUACUUAGCUCGGUACAUAGCCAUAACAUAAUCUGUGGCUGUUGGUUGGUGCAGAAACGUGACGUUCAAUUUGCGAACUGAUAGCGAAUUGUAUGCAUUUCACCCCCAUCGCGUCGUUUAUCCGCCAGAAAAGAGCAACGAGCACUACCAAUCGGCUUGGAUGAUCAGAGCUAGAUAAGAAGCCGAUUGCAUUUUCAAACGACGCCAACACUGAGCAGAACGGUGCACACUCCCCAUUUCAGUGAGAAUCCGCGAUUGGCGCCAAGCUGAUGAUGUGAUUGUGAUACUGUCAUAUUUCCGUGAAUAAGAACAAAAAAUCGCUAAAUUAAUUGAUAGAGUGUGCCAAAUCUAAUAAAAAGUCACUCAAUAUUGAAAAAUUAAAAUUAAAUGUUCAAACCUGACCGAGAAGCAAGCAGCAAUACAAGAAGAAAUGGCAGACUGUGAAGGUCUACGCAAUCAGCCACAGCAAUCGAAAGCAAACAACGGAGUGUCCAGCAGUGCAUCUGGUUUAUCGAAAGCAAAAAUGGAUCAGAAGAACAAAAACUCUAGUCACGCCCAGAACGCAAAUCCGGGCCCUGAAAGUGGCAACAGUGAAAAGGUAACCUUGUACCUGAGUGGCCAGAAGGCAAGUGAAUAUCAGAGCAAAAUGUCCGAAAAGGCGCGGAAGGGCUCUUCGGAGUCUCCACGAGAGGUGGUUGCCAUCAGAAGAAGUGCCAAUGUGAUCAAAUGUGAUAGUGAUAAGGAAAUCAAUUCACUCAAAAGGAAGAAAGUGCCCUCAGUGAGCCAUUCAGAAAACGUUAGUGUUUCAGAACAGGAACAAACGUACGCUUCGGUUGUGAAGCAAACAGACAAAGAGAACGUCCAACCGCCCAAUACGGCGGUGGGCGUUAACACAGGAAGUUCAAGCAAUAAGCGCAUGAAGAUGGAUCCACUAAACAGUGAUAGUAAAAUAGUGGCCAGCAAACCACCCAUUCCACCGAAACCAGAUGGCACCAAGCCGUCAACGCAUCACAAUGGUAGCGAGAAAGGUAACGGGAAGUCCAAGAAACAGGUCGUCAGCGAUGCUCACAAUGCGUUGACGGUUCAGAAGCUGCUUGCUCAGAACGAACAGAUGAGGCUGGAAAUUAAUGAACUGCGGUCGAACCUGGCCACGGAACGGAAUGCUGUGCGAGUUCUAAGGGCCCAAAACGAGUCGGACCUGCGGCGCACCAGGACGGAGAACAAGAAGCUCCAGGAAGCGCUAUCGCAUCAGAAACGUCACAGCACUAGUGGUGCAACGCCGACAUCACCAACUAGCUCGGCACCGCCACCGAAGCGACCGAAUCGAACUGGAGGCGUUGGUUCCAGUGCCACCAGUUCGGAUGAAAACCAUGUCCAGGUGACAACGACAACGAUCCACCAGCUGAAUCUGGACAUUCUCAAGCUCAACCAGGAGCUUUCCGCCAUGCGAGAGACUAACAAAUUCUUGGAGGAGAAAAUUCAAAUUUCCUCGGAGGCUGAACGGCGGAAAGCUUCUGACAUUCGAGUGCAAAGGGACCUGCACGAACUACGAUUGACUCAACUCACCAAGUCUGCCAAAAGCGAAAUCCAACGACUGCUGGAGGAGCUGAAAUCCAAAGACCGCAAUAUCGGUCUUCUGAGGAAGGAGAUUUCAGCUCUGCAAGGAACUGCGGGAGGAGGACCGAAGAAGGAGAGAAAGGCUGCUAAAAAUUCCGCUCAGCAAUCGCAAGAGAUGCGAAAACUGCGUGAGUCCGAAUCGACAUGUAGCGGAACAAUCAGCAAGAGCACCAGCCAAAGUAGCAUCCAGUCUGUCUGCGACGAGUCGGAACAGAAUGAUGCUGAAGCUGAUCCGGUAGCAGCCCCGGCCAAGCAGUCAACGACGACCCUCAACGUUCGCAACCACAGUUCGACUCCUUCUUCGGAAACGACGAACUGCAACAACGGUGGCAGCAAUAUCCCUCACCACCCUAGCUGUAAUCAGCCAACGAAACACUUUAACACUAGCGAUAGUAACCCCUUAGGAUUAGAAACGACGACGUGUGGCGACGAUGACAGUGCAUCUCAGCCACACGAAUCACGAACAAUGGAAGCUCACAACGAUUUGCAUGCUUCUGUUAGAUUAGUAAGUCAUUUGAACGACGGAAACGUCCUCAGUCACGCCAGUAGUAGUAGUAGUAAUUGCACCCCUAGCAGUGAACCAAGUGUAGUUCGGUCAACGACCACCGCCAUGAUGACAACCGGUAGACAGUUGUCCUCAGUUUCCGAUGCCGAUUCUGCCAUAUCAUCUGCGCCGCCAUCCCUUAGCCCGCAGCCAACCGGUUGCCCAAACUCGCCGGAAGUCUGGCGGGCACACAUCCACCUUCAACCGGCGACCUCCGACGACACCGAGCGGAAGCAUCUGCAGUCGCUUCGGGACGAAAGCCAACUCCAGGAGAUCAAACUGGAGCUGGAUCGGAUGCAGGCCAAGUACGAUCUGCUCAGUGCAGACUACGGCAAGGCCAAAGAGCAGAUCGACGAUCUCGAGCGGGAGUUGAUGGAGGCGGCGCAAGCUCAGCAGGAGAGAGCGAAGUUUGCCGAGCGGAUCGAUUAUUUAGUGCAGCGAGAGGAAAAUCUGCUUCGGGAGAGCCACGAACUGCGCGAGCAGAAUGAACUGCUCGAAUUCCGGAUCAUUGAGCUGGAGGAGAGCCACGAUAAGUGGUCACUCCGCAGUAAUUCCAGCCCAACGGUCGGCAGCACCAGCAUCAACGGUAGCACCACAAAGGACGUAUGGACCGACACAGACAAAGAGCACGACGAUUUGAUCAUGCACCAUUCGGAACGGUCGGAUUCGGGCGUCACAUCGCCCAACAGCCAUCACCACCUGGAAGAUCAACAAACCAGCGGAGUUCCUUCGCCCUGUUGUGACCUCUCGCUGCUGGACCAAAUCCCGACGGAUGAUGUGCGGAAGCGCAUUGCGACCAUGACCAAGCGGGCAUGUUACGACGAGGAGGACAAAAUGUGCCUACUGCAGAUCCUGUCGCUGUUGAACAACUUGGAAGCCCUGUCGCAGGAUCACGAGAUUGCGAGCGACGACAUGAGCCUGGAGCUCCCGGUGAAGUUCAGCAACUAUAGCUUCCCGGAGAGUCAUCCCCCAAAGUCCCUGACGGCAACAUCGACACCGUUCAAGAGUCAACAAGGCAAGAUGGUUGCGACGGUGCAGCCUUUCAGCAGCAAUGCCAACAACUCAGCCUCAAUGACAACCAGCAGUGAACCGAAGAGUAUCUCGAUCGCAUCGAUUGCGGAGACUUUUGGCGGUAUGAAGAAGUCGGCCAAGUGGGGUUCGACCAGCCUGCAGGAAAGUGGAGUGUUUGUGGACGAAAUGAUGGUCAGCUGCGUGGGGACUCAGACGGAGGUGGAAGAUUUCCCUUGUCUGGAGAAAACCAACGCGGAGCUUUGUGCGGAAAUUGAGAAGCUGAACAAAUUCCGGCAGAAAAUCGAGGAGUGUACGAUUAAACGGAACGGUAAGAAUCCAGUAGGAGUGAGCCUUUCGCUACCAGCGGAAUCUUGCGAACAAAGAAGACUGCAGUACUAUGUAAAUCGUAUGGAGCAACUGGAGAAUAAGGUUAAGGUUUAUGAGAGCAGCGGUGAUCAGCAAUUGCGGCAUCUAGCGGAUAGAUUGCAGCGAGAAAUCCAAUUGGAAAGUUGGGUCGAUCAGCUGAGUGAGAAGCUGAACAAGCUUGAAGACGAAAACGAGAGACUGGAAGAGGAGAGAUGUGAACUGGAAGAGAUCGAAAAUGACACUAGGCUACGGUUACAGCGCAUGGAAGUGGACUACGAGAUGAUGAGCCAGAGGAAUACGGAGCUCGAAAUGUCAAAGAGCUCGUAUCAAUCCAAGUACCAAGACGCCAGAGACAGCGUGAUAAAUCUCGAAGAGUUAGUGCAUAAAUGUGAGGAAAGGAUAUUCGUUCUUGAGGAAACAGAAAACGAACUAAAUGAUCGCAUCGAUCUGAUACUAGCGUUUAUUCCGGUACUGUUGAUGUUCAACAGUUGGCAGUUGCAAGAGCAGAUGGCAGCUACCCGGAAGCAGUACGCCAUCAACUCCAUCCCACCGGAGCAUAUCGAAUACUACGAAUCGACAAACGGAGAUUUACAAAUGAGACUGAACGAUCUGAUGAACCGUGAGAAGGAGCUCACCCAGAACAUAGCCGAGUUGAAUCGAGCUUACAAUGAAACCCUGGAGAAUGCAGACAAUCUCUGGGCCCAGAUGGAGAAAGAGUACAAAGACAAGAUCUCCAAGUGUGAGACGGUGGAAUCGAAUCUCAAAUCAAAAAUCGCUCAGUUAGAGGAGCGAUUGAGCAAGGACAGUGAGUAUGCUCACGAGAGGAUAUCUCACUUGGAAGAGGCUGAAAACAGUCUCAAGAACCGAGUAUCCAAACUCAACAAAGAAAACAAAGAUCUGGUUGCCAAGCACGCUGUGCUCCUAGAAGAAUACACCACUUUGAAGGACGAAUACCGGAAGCUGCAGAACUACCUCAAAGGAACCGUGGCGGAGAACAUCGAACGGGAGAAGCGCAAGAUCGUGGCGCUGGAGGAAGAGCUCACCUUAUCUACAUCACUCCUCCAAGAAGCCGAAGAGAAUCACAAAUCUGAGGUGGGACAUAUGCGUGGUAAGCUGCUCAGUGCCACCAAGGAGCUGAAUCACAUCGAAGUGACCAACAGCGAGCUGCGAGAAGAGGUCGAGACUCUAGAAUGUCGCAUCCGAGAGCUGUUGACUCUGAGGAAUUGUGAUGAAGAGCGAAUCAAGCACCUCACUGAGGAACUUCAAUCGAAGCAGGCUCAAAUCAGUCAGCUGCAGCUGCACCCGACUCACAAUAAUUACAGGGGUGGCUUCGGACGAAGCCUUGCACAAGAACUGGAACGACCUGUCAAAGGGUCAUACUCGAAGCUGGGAUACGAGAUUCACCCUCUCAACCGUAAAUUCCCAGGAGACAGCGAUAGCAGCGGAAGCGAGGACAAAGUGAAAUUCCCCAUCGCAAAAACAACUCCGGAAGCCAAAGAAGUCAAGAGUCUGGCCGAGACCAUUAUCAUUAAUGCCGAGAACCGAGGCAUUCGUGCGCCAAAGAAGUCGUUCGUCGAGGAGGCCCGUAGCCGUUUUGCCCGUUGGGUUUGAGAAGUGUGAAUCUCUUUUCAUUGUACAUUGACAUUUUGAGCUACGCAAGUCGACAAAUGAGAAGGUAUCGCACAGAACUCGCUUUCGUUGUUUGGACGUGUGAAAAAACCCAUUUAACACCUUAUCUAAGCAGCCCUUGGCCAGUCAAUUCACUAGGAAGUGUCAAUCAUUCUCUUGGUCUGGGUUCUCUUGAUACCAUGACCUUCUAAAGUGCCUUAUAGUAAAAUCAAUUAGCAGUUUGGAAGCACUCUAGCGAAAGAAAUCAACAUGGACCCGCAGUAGGCCAGAAAAUCUACAAAACAUAUACCGAAUAAUUCAUCACUCCGACGCACCGCAGCAGGCGCCGCCCCUUGAAGAAGAAAUUGAUUCUAGUCGUUCACUUUGUUUAUAUUAAUUUUGUACAUCAACCGACCCCUAGGUUAAGAAGACAACUGCCCUACGGUUUUGUCAUCACCCAAUCACAUGGCAAUUUCUAUUUAAAUAUCGCACGACCCCAUUGAAACUCGCCGCCCCUCGAAACAAACGAAACGAAUCAUGACGAAAGGUUUAAUUUCGCGUUUUUGAAAUUACACUCCCCGAGCUUUUGAGUUUGUUUCGUUCUCAGCUGCCAAAAUUCGUACACUUGGUUUACAUCAUUAUUUCCCAGUUACACAAAUAAUUAUGUUAAGCUUGCACUUUACUUCGUACUCUUCAUUCUUGUUGUUUAGUUUUCGUUGCCCUCCCCUGUACAUACCCGGAAGCCGUAAGUUAAUGAAUCUCCACACACACUAUCGAAUAGUUUUUAUUUUGUAGUACAAUUUACUUUGUAGUGAAUGCUGUUUCCUCUGAGGAAAGCUUCGAUUUUACUCUGUUUUUUUGUUUAGUUUCCGUUCUUUAUCAUAAUUUGAAGGCGUGACAUUUUUACUGAAUCUCUCAUUUCGGAAGUUAACUCUCUAAACUAAAAAAUGUUAUUUAUUUCUUUUUUGAAAAAUGUAAAACCGUUAUUUUCAAUCAUAAAAAAGAGAAAUCCAUCUAACCAAUUGCAUGUGCAUGUUGGAAUGUAGAGUUCAAUCAUAAUAAGUGGAAACAUUGGCCACAAUAAUGAAAAAUUGAAGGUGAGCUUCCACAUUGAAAAUAUACUCAAAAACAGUUAAAAGGAAAAACAUGUUAGAAACAAAUCCCAAUGUAAUAAACACAUCAUCAAACAAUUGUAGAAACAGAACAUUAUAAUAUAUUGAGACUUAUUAGA